GAUGAACGCUGGCGGCGUGCCUAAUACAUGCAAGUCGAGCGAACGGACGAGAAGCUUGCUUCUCUGAUGUUAGCGGCGGACGGGUGAGUAACACGUGGAUAACCUACCUAUAAGACUGGGAUAACUUCGGGAAACCGUAGCUAAUACCGGAUAAUAUUUUGAACCGCAUGGUUCAAAAGUGAAAGACGGUCUUGCUGUCACUUAUAGAUGGAUCCGCGCUGCAUUAGCUAGUUGGUAAGGUAACGGCUUACCAAGGCAACGAUGCAUAGCCGACCUGAGAGGGUGAUCGGCCACACUGGAACUGAGACACGGUCCAGACGCCUACGGGAGGCAGCAGUAGGGAAUCUUCCGCAAUGGGCGAAAGCCUGACGGAGCAACGCCGCGUGAGUGAUGAAGGUCUUCGGAUCGUAAAACUCUGUUAUUAGGGAAGAACAUAUGUGUAAGUAACUGUGCACAUCUUGACGGUACCUAAUCAGAAAGCCACGGCUAACUACGUG
rnacentral:rRNA from 1 species